rnacentral:lncRNA from 1 species
AAUUUCAGAUUAAACAUAAAAACUACAUUAAAUUUAUAUGUUUGAUCUUAUAGUUUAUAGUGCUGAAGAUAGUUUGCCCUGAAAGUGCUUCACUAAAUAAACAGUAGUGCGCAUAAUUACUGCUGAAAUGUGCUUGAGUUUAAAAUAUCAAAAAUAAUAAUAAAAUAUUAAAUCUUUAAAUAACUAUAGAGAUUGUAGAAUAAUAUAGAGUGUUUCUUGAAUAAGAACUUUAAGUAUUAGAGCAAUAUUCAGCAACUGUUACCGAGGCAGGCAUCAUACAGUUGGGACAGUGUUACUAUGAUUGUCAUUAAUUACAUUAAAAUAUCUCAAUCUAUUUGAUAUUACCAGGGAUUUCAAAAUGAAUCCUUCCUUUAGAUAGUUGCAGUUUUUAAUAGUCCUAGCAUUUUUCUAAUCUGUUUUCAUAUUAAACUCAUAAUCUUUGUGGAGAGCAUAGUUGCAUUAUUAUCUAAACAUAUGUCUUUUUUAUGCCCAGUGAUACGAUCAUCUAAGUUUUCUGCUUGUCACAUCAAUAUACUCCUCUUAGCAAUCAAAAUCAUAGUUAUAUAUUGGGAUAUAAUAGGUCCCCAAUUUUUUCCUUUAAUUCAUACCUCUGCUUAUCAUCUGUCUAUUCUAAAGAGUUGGAUAUCUUGUUGCAAUUUUGUCAUUAAUCUUCUUUGCUAUGUUUCUUAUAAUGUUGAGGUUUGAGAUAUCAUGUGGAAAUUUGAUAGACUGCAUGUGUUCCUCAGAUGGGUACAUCUGAUGUUUUUAACUUGUUUACAUAGGAUCAGAGUUAAUCUUUCUUUUAACUUCAUCAUAAAUCUUUUUCAUAAAUUAUAGGUAUACCCAUGCUAUUUUUUUUUUGCAAUAAUAUUUCUAAAUUCAGCAUGUAGCUAGGAUUAAUCAAACAGUGAUUAAAUAUCCUACAAAAAACAGAACAGAAAAUAGCUUUUUUUUAAACUUCAUAGUAUCAUAAAAUCAAGUUAGUAUUAAAACAGAUUUGUAUAUUGCCUUUCUAAAGAAAGGCAACAUACAAACCUGUAUCAGAAUGAUUGCCUAUAUGUCAGUGGUGGCCAACUUUCGUGUCAUUACGAGCCAUAUAGGAAAUUUCAAAUAGUUGAGAGCCUCUUUCUGGGUCAGUGAGGCUCACAUCAAUUUUUUCGGGUAAUCUUAAUAGUGGUUUCAAAAAUUGUUUAUUAUAUAUUUUACAUGCAUUUAUUUCCUAUAUAGAUGCAUACUACUUUUU